CUUGGGGUUCAGCAGGCGAGAAAACUUUACAAUGAUGGAAACAUUGAUAAGGGGACACGGAGUGCCAGCAUCAUUUCCUGGCGGUCCAGGUGUGUAAAAUACACUUCUUAGCAAGGGUCGGGCUAGACCGGAGCCGGCCGUAGCGGUAACUCUGUCGGCUUGAGUGGUCAUCGUGAUUAUUGGGUAUAAAGGGUCGGUUGCAGGAGGGUCAGUCCUCCGGGAAAUGUUGAUAGGUGAAUUAUUAGGUUUUCGGAGGAUACCGCCAAACUCGUAACCGGGAGUGGUCAGAGGUACUACCGGGGUAGGAGUGAAAUCUUGUAAUACAUGGGGGGCCACAACAGGGGAAGGGGUCUUACCAGAACGGAUUCGAUGGUGAGGGAAGAAAUCCGGGGGCAUGAACGAGAUAGGAUACCCGGGUAGUCCCACCCGUGAAUGAUGCUCUCUAGGUUUCAGGCAUGGUGUGGCCGGGUUAGGAGCCGCAGUGAAGCGUUGAAACUAGCCACGUGCGAAGUACGGCCUCAAGGAUGAAAAGAAAGGAAUCGGCGGGCGAGCACAAGGGCGAUUCGCGG
rnacentral:rRNA from 1 species